CGUGUAGGCGGCUCGGAAAGUCGGAUGUGAAAGCCCUGGGCUUAACCUAGGAAGUGCAUUCGAAACUCCCGAGCUUGAGUUCUGGAGAGGAAGGCGGAAUUCUCGGUGUAGAGGUGAAAUUCGUAGAUAUCGAGAGGAACACCGGUGGCGAAGGCGGCCUUCUGGACAGUGACUGACGCUGAGACGCGAAAGCGUGGGGAGCAAACA
rnacentral:rRNA from 1 species